GGAAGUAGCUCAGUGGUAGAGCAUCUGCUUGGCAUGUAGAAGGUCUCAGACUCCAUCCCUGGCAUCUCCU